rnacentral:rRNA from 1 species
UACGGAGGAUGCGAGCGUUAUCCGGAUUUAUUGGGUUUAAAGGGUGCGUAGGCGGGAUGCCAAGUCAGCGGUAAAAAUGCGGUGCUCAACGCCGUCGAGCCGUUGAAACUGGGUGUCUUGAGUGGGCGAGAAGUACGCGGAAUGCGUGGUGUAGCGGUGAAAUGCAUAGAUAUCACGCAGAACUCCGAUUGCGAAGGCAGCGUACCGGCGCCCAACUGACGCUGAAGCACGAAGGCGUGGGUAUCGAACAGG